rnacentral:lncRNA from 1 species
CUGAUUCGACCUAUGAUCAAGACAUAUACACCUUUGAGAGGUUUUCACGUCUCUCUUCUUUUAUUUUAUUUUGUUAGCAAAUGUUUUGUAUUUUACAUUAGUACAUUACUCAUUUCCAUUAUUGUCUUUCCAGUUACAAGGUCUUUAGUUUUCAAUACUUGCUAAUAUUCAUGACCAGCGACUUAUGAGUUUUUUUGGUCUUUAGUUUUCAAUACUUGAUAGUAUUAUUUAAUAUUCUAUAAUAAAUAAAAUUCAGUACUGAUUUGUAACAUUGUAUAAAAAUAUAAAAUUACCAUUUAAAAUUGCCACCAAACACUGUAGUAAUAGGGGCAUAAAAGAAAGACAAUUAAAGAAAACUCUUUACUUUAAAAAGGACAAUAGAAGAAAGUUUGAUGUAUUAUUAUUUUUCUUAAUAAUUUUUUGUACUAUUCAUGUUGCGUGUACAUUUGUGAAAUAUAUAUGAUUUUAUUUAUGUUUCAAACGUGGAAUAUUUAAAUCACUAGAAAUUUCAUUUUUUCUUUAUUAUUUAGCAAUUUUGUUACAAACACCAUAUUUUCUUUCAACAUAUUCACCGUCAUAAUUUUUUUCUCUUCAAUCGCUAAACCCUCUUUACCGCACUACUAUUUUUUUUUUUGCAUUAGUCAGACCAGAUAUAAAUUUAAAAGUACAGGUAUAUAUAUUUUUUAUUUUUUGCGAAAGGAGUUUGUAUAUAUAUAUGUUGCCAUGAUAUAAAAAACUCUAAUAAAUAUUUGCAUCAUUGCAUAGCUUAUUAUUAACUUGUAAAGAUAGACCAAUGCAGUGAGGAAUAACAACGUAAUAAUUAUUACUGGACGUACAUAUUCUUUUCUAAAUCUAUUAUUACUUCUACCAUAAUAUUCGGUGGUUAGAAAUUCAGGUCUGCAAGUUUGUUUUGACGAGACUUAUGACUUGUGUAGUGAAUGGUUAUUUUGUUGGUCAGUUGGUAUGCACACAGUAUAACAAACGGUAAAACGUACAAUAAGUUCAAUAACUAAGUCUGUAAUUGCUGUUCAAACAUGAGAUUCAAAAUUCUAAUAUAUUAAAAGUGAAAUAUCAGUGUCGUAGUUACAUGUGGAACAGAGGUCAAGUAAUGCAAUAUGAGGAAGAUAUAUGUAUCAGAGUAAAAUGAGGAGUUGCAUGUGAGCACUGGGAGAGAAGAUAGAGAAAGCACAUGCGAAAAGGUACUCAACUGCCAUUACCUAACAUUUUCACGUCUCAAGAUUGGUGAAUGGUCUCUCCAUUUUAAAUCACCCAUGUGAUCUUAAGAUUUAUUCAUAGUAGAAUGUUAAGACCUAAAAUUUUAAGAGUAUCCAACCGGAGUAAAUGCCAUUAGCCAAAGUCGCAUAUUUUGAGAUAUUAUGUUUGUACAACAACUUUUAUAUAUAGAAUUGAGACGACGUACUAAAUUUACCUAAAACGAACACUUUAUUAAAUAUAAAUCCAACCACUGAAAAC